rnacentral:rRNA from 1 species
CACAGCCGCGGUAAUACAGAGGAUGCAAGCGUUAUCCGGAAUGAUUGGGCGUAAAGCGUCUGUAGGUGGCUUUUCAAGUCCGCCGUCAAAUCCCAGGGCUCAACCCUGGACAGGCGGUGGAAACUACCAAGCUGGAGUACGGUAGGGGCAGAGGGAAUUUCCGGUGGAGCGGUGAAAUGCGUAGAGAUCUGGAGGAAUACCGGUGGCGAAGGCGGCCCCCUGGACAAAGACUGACGCUCAGGUGCGAAAGCGUGGGGAGCAAACAGGAUUAGAUACCCGCGUAGUCCCUGUCUCUUAUACA